CUUGCUCCACCGAAAGAAAAAGAGUGGCGAACGGGUGAGUAACACGUGGGUAACCUGCCCAUCAGAAGGGGAUAACACUUGGAAACAGGUGCUAAUACCGUAUAACACUAUUUUCCGCAUGGAAGAAAGUUGAAAGGCGCUUUUGCGUCACUGAUGGAUGGACCCGCGGUGCAUUAGCUAGUUGGUGAGGUAACGGCUCACCAAGGCAACGAUGCAUAGCCGACCUGAGAGGGUGAUCGGCCACAUU
rnacentral:rRNA from 1 species